rnacentral:rRNA from 1 species
CUUGUUCUUUAAAUAAGGACUAGUAUCAACGGCAUCACGAGGGUUACACUGUCUCCUUUCUCCAAUCAGUGAAACUGAUCUUCCCGUGAAGAAGCGGGAAUACAACUAUAAGACGAGAAGACCCCAUGGAGCUUUAAAUUUUACAGCAACUUAGUCAAACAUGCCCAUAUAAUCUACAAAGCUAUGCCUACCAAUUUUAGGUUGGGGUGACCGCGGAGUAAAAAUUAACCUCCACAACGAAAAGAACUAAAUCUUUAUCUAAGAGCUACAACUCUAAGAAUUAGUAUACUAACGACAAUGACCCGAUAAUCGAUCAACGGACCAAGUUACCCUGGGGAUAACAGCGCAAUCUACUUCGAGAGUUCAUAUCGACAAGUAGGCUUACGACCUCGAUGUUGGAUCAGGGUAUCCCAGUGGUGCAGCCGCUACUAAUGGUUCGUUUGUUCAACGAUUAAAACCCU